rnacentral:rRNA from 1 species
ACUCCUACGGGAGGCAGCAGUUAGGAAUAUUGGACAAUGGACGAAAGUCUGACACAGCAACACCGUGUGAGGGAUGAAGCAUUUCGGUGUGUAAACCUCUGUCGAUGAUGAAUAAAGUAUGCGGGAGUGGAAAGCCCGUGUAUUGGAGGUAGUCAUGAAGGAAGCACCGGCUAACU